rnacentral:rRNA from 1 species
GACGAACGCUGGCGGCGUGCUUAACACAUGCAAGUCGAACGGAAAGGCCCUGCUUUUGUGGGGUGCUCGAGUGGCGAACGGGUGAGUAACACGUGAGUAACCUGCCCUUUACUUUGGGAUAACUUCAGGAAACUGGGGCUAAUACCGGAUAGGAGCUCCUGCUGCAUUGUGUGGGUUGGAAAGUUUCGGCGGUUGGGGAUGGACUCGCGGCUUAUCAGCUUGUUGGUGGGGUAGUGGCUUACCAAGGCUUUGACGGGUAGCCGGCCUGAGAGGGUGACCGGCCACAUUGGGACUGAGAUACGGCCCAGACUCCUACGGGAGGCAGCAGUGGGGAAUAUUGCACAAUGGGCGGAAGCCUGAUGCAGCAACGCCGCGUGCGGGAUGACGGCCUUCGGGUUGUAAACCGCUUUCGCCUGUGACGAAGCGUGAGUGACGGUAAUGGGUAAAGAAGCACCGGCUAACUACGUG